AUGAUGUAGAUUGGCCUUUGGGGUAAUGAUGCCCGGGACCGGUGGAGGCUGA
rnacentral:snoRNA from 1 species